rnacentral:rRNA from 1 species
AUUGAACGCUGGCGGCAGGCUUAACACAUGCAAGUCGGGCGGGGUGAUGGUGCUUGCACUAUCACUUAGCGGCGGACGGGUGAGUAAUGCUUAGGAAUCUGCCUAUUAGUGGGGGACAACAUCUCGAAAGGGAUGCUAAUACCGCAUACGUCCUACGGGAGAAAGCAGGGGAUCACUUGUGACCUUGCGCUAAUAGAUGAGCCUAAGUCGGAUUAGCUAGUUGGUGGGGUAAAGGCCUACCAAGGCGACGAUCUGUAGCGGGUCUGAGGGGAUGAUCCGCAACACUGGGACUGAGACACGGCCCAGACUCCUACGGGAGGCAGCAGUGGGGAAUAUUGGACAAUGGGGGGAACCCUGAUCCAGCCAUGCCGCGUGUGUGAAGAAGGCCUUAUGGUUGUAAAGCACUUUAAGCGAGGAGGAGGCUCUUUUGGUUAAUACCCAAGAUGAGUGGACGUUACUCGCAGAAUAAGCACCGGCUAACUCUGUGCCAGCAGCCGCCGUAA